rnacentral:rRNA from 1 species
AGCGAACGCUGGCGGCAGGCCUAACACAUGCAAGUCGAACGAACCUUUCGGGGUUAGUGGCGGACGGGUGAGUAACACGUGGGAACGUGCCUUUAGGUUCGGAAUAACUCAGGGAAACUUGUGCUAAUACCGAAUGUGCCCUUCGGGGGAAAGAUUUAUCGCCUUUAGAGCGGCCCGCGUCUGAUUAGCUAGUUGGUUGAGGUAAUGGCUCACCAAGGCGACGAUCAGUAGCUGGUCUGGGAGGAGGAUCAGCCACAUUGGGACUGAGACACGGCCCAAAACCCUCCGGGGGGAGCCGGGGGGGAUUUUUGCGAAUUGGGCGAAACCCUAACCCCGCCCUGCCCGGUAAAUGAUAAGGGUCUUAGGAUUUAAAAAUUUUUUCCCCGGGGACGAUAAUGACGUUCCCCGGAAAAAAAGCCCCGGCUAACUUCUU